UUAAGUUAUUAAGGGCGCACGGUGGAUGCCUUGGCACUAGAAGCCGAUGAAGGACGUUACUAACGACGAUAUGCUUUGGGGAGCUGUAAGUAAGCUUUGAUCCAGAGAUUUCCGAAUGGGGAAACCCAGCAUGAGUUAUGUCAUGUUAUCGAUAUGUGAAUACAUAGCAUAUCAGAAGGCACACCCGGAGAACUGAAACAUCUUAGUACCCGGAGGAAGAGAAAGAAAAUUCGAUUCCCUUAGUAGCGGCGAGCGAAAUGGGAAGAGCCCAAACCAACAAGCUUGCUUGUUGGGGUUGUAGGACACUCUAUACGGAGUUACAAAGGACGACAUUAGACGAAUCAUCUGGAAAGAUGAAUCAAAGAAGGUAAUAAUCCUGUAGUCGAAAAUGUUGUCUCUCUUGAGUGGAUCCUGAGUACGACGGANCACGUGAAAUUCCGUCGGAAUCUGGGAGGACCAUCUCCUAAGGCUAAAUACUCUCUAGUGACCGAUAGUGAACCAGUACCGUGAGGGAAAGGUGAAAAGCACCCCGGAAGGGGAGUGAAAUAGAACCUGAAACCGUGUGCUUACAAGUAGUCAGAGCCCGUUAAUGGGUGAUGGCGUGCCUUUUGUAGAAUGAACCGGCGAGUUACGAUUUGAUGCAAGGUUAAGCAGUAAAUGUGGAGCCGUAGCGAAAGCGAGUCUGAAUAGGGCGUUUAGUAUUUGGUCGUAGACCCGAAACCAGGUGAUCUACCCUUGGUCAGGUUGAAGUUCAGGUAACACUGAAUGGAGGACCGAACCGACUUACGUUGAAAAGUGAGCGGAUGAACUGAGGGUAGCGGAGAAAUUCCAAUCGAACCUGGAGAUAGCUGGUUCUCUCCGAAAUAGCUUUAGGGCUAGCCUCAAGUGAUGAUUAUUGGAGGUAGAGCACUGUUUGGACGAGGGGCCCCUCUCGGGUUACCGAAUUCAGACAAACUCCGAAUGCCAAUUAAUUUAACUUGGGAGUCAGAACAUGGGUGAUAAGGUCCGUGUUCGAAAGGGAAACAGCCCAGACCACCAGCUAAGGUCCCAAAAUAUAUGUUAAGUGGAAAAGGAUGUGGCGUUGCCCAGACAACUAGGAUGUUGGCUUAGAAGCAGCCAUCAUUUAAAGAGUGCGUAAUAGCUCACUAGUCGAGUGACACUGCGCCGAAAAUGUACCGGGGCUAAACAUAUUACCGAAGCUGUGGAUUGUCCUUUGGACAAUGGUAGGAGAGCGUUCUAAGGGCGUUGAAGCAUGAUCGUAAGGACAUGUGGAGCGCUUAGAAGUGAGAAUGCCGGUGUGAGUAGCGAAAGACGGGUGAGAAUCCCGUCCACCGAUUGACUAAGGUUUCCAGAGGAAGGCUCGUCCGCUCUGGGUUAGUCGGGUCCUAAGCUGAGGCCGACAGGCGUAGGCGAUGGAUAACAGGUUGAUAUUCCUGUACCACCUAUAAUCGUUUUAAUCGAUGGGGGGACGCAGUAGGAUAGGCGAAGCGUGCGAUUGGAUUGCACGUCUAAGCAGUAAGGCUGAGUAUUAGGCAAAUCCGGUACUCGUUAAGGCUGAGCUGUGAUGGGGAGAAGACAUUGNGUCUUCGAGUCGUUGAUUUCACACUGCCGAGAAAAGCCUCUAGAUAGAAAAUAGGUGCCCGUACCGCAAACCGACACAGGUAGUCAAGAUGAGAAUUCUAAGGUGAGCGAGCGAACUCUCGUUAAGGAACUCGGCAAAAUGACCCCGUAACUUCGGGAGAAGGGGUGCUCUUUAGGGUUAACGCCCAGAAGAGCCGCAGUGAAUAGGCCCAAGCGACUGUUUAUCAAAAACACAGGUCUCUGCUAAACCGUAAGGUGAUGUAUAGGGGCUGACGCCUGCCCGGUGCUGGAAGGUUAAGAGGAGUGGUUAGCUUCUGCGAAGCUACGAAUCGAAGCCCCAGUAAACGGCGGCCGUAACUAUAACGGUCCUAAGGUAGCGAAAUUCCUUGUCGGGUAAGUUCCGACCCGCACGAAAGGCGUAACGAUUUGGGCACUGUCUCAACGAGAGACUCGGUGAAAUCAUAGUACCUGUGAAGAUGCAGGUUACCCGCGACAGGACGGAAAGACCCCGUGGAGCUUUACUGUAGCCUGAUAUUGAAAUUCGGCACAGCUUGUACAGGAUAGGUAGGAGCCUUUGAAACGUGAGCGCUAGCUUACGUGGAGGCGCUGGUGGGAUACUACCCUAGCUGUGUUGGCUUUCUAACCCGCACCACUUAUCGUGGUGGGAGACAGUGUCAGGCGGGCAGUUUGACUGGGGCGGUCGCCUCCUAAAAGGUAACGGAGGCGCUCAAAGGUUCCCUCAGAAUGGUUGGAAAUCAUUCAUAGAGUGUAAAGGCAUAAGGGAGCUUGACUGCGAGACCUACAAGUCGAGCAGGGUCGAAAGACGGACUUAGUGAUCCGGUGGUUCCGCAUGGAAGGGCCAUCGCUCAACGGAUAAAAGCUACCCCGGGGAUAACAGGCUUAUCUCCCCCAAGAGUUCACAUCGACGGGGAGGUUUGGCACCUCGAUGUCGGCUCAUCGCAUCCUGGGGCUGUAGUCGGUCCCAAGGGUUGGGCUGUUCGCCCAUUAAAGCGGUACGCGAGCUGGGUUCAGAACGUCGUGAGACAGUUCGGUCCCUAUCCGUCGUGGGCGUAGGAAAUUUGAGAGGAGCUGUCCUUAGUACGAGAGGACCGGGAUGGACAUACCUCUGGUGUACCAGUUGUCGUGCCAACGGCAUAGCUGGGUAGCUAUGUGUGGACGGGAUAAGUGCUGAAAGCAUCUAAGCAUGAAGCCCCCCUCAAGAUGAGAUUUCCCAACUUCGGUUAUAAGAUCCCUCAAAGAUGAUGAGGUUAAUAGGUUCGAGGUGGAAGCAUGGUGACAUGUGGAGCUGACGAAUACUAAUCGAUCGAAGACUUAAUCAA
rnacentral:rRNA from 1 species